AACGCUGCAGAGAGGAGCUUGCUCUUCUUGGAUGAGUUGCGAACGGGUGAGUAACGCGUAGGUAACCUGCCUUGUAGCGGGGGAUAACUAUUGGAAACGAUAGCUAAUACCGCAUAACAAUGGAUGACACAUGUCAUUUAUUUGAAAGGGGCAAUUGCUCCACUACAAGAUGGACCUGCGUUGUAUUAGCUAGUAGGUGAGGUAACGGCUCACCUAGGCGACGAUACAUAGCCGACCUGAGAGGGUGAUCGGCCACACUGGGACUGAGACACGGCCCAGACUCCUACGGGAGGCAGCAGUAGGGAAUCUUCGGCAAUGGGGGCAACCCUGACCGAGCAACGCCGCGUGAGUGAAGAAGGUUUUCGGAUCGUAAAGCUCUGUUGUAAGUCAAGAACGAGUGUGAGAGUGGAAAGUUCACACUGUGACGGUAGCUUACCAGAAAGGGACGGCUAACUACGUGCCAGCAGCCGCGGUAAUACGUAGGUCCCGAGCGUUGUCCGGAUUUAUUGGGCGUAAAGCGAGCGCAGGCGGUUUGAUAAGUCUGAAGUUAAAGGCUGUGGCUCAACCAUAGUUCGCUUUGGAAACUGUCAAACUUGAGUGCAGAAGGGGAGAGUGGAAUUCCAUGUGUAGCGGUGAAAUGCGUAGAUAUAUGGAGGAACACCGGUGGCGAAAGCGGCUCUCUGGUCUGUAACUGACGCUGAGGCUCGAAAGCGUGGGGAGCGAACAGGAUUAGAUACCCUGGUAGUCCACGCCGUAAACGAUGAGUGCUAGGUGUUGGAUCCUUUCCGGGAUUCAGUGCCGCAGCUAACGCAUUAAGCACUCCGCCUGGGGAGUACGACCGCAAGGUUGAAACUCAAAGGAAUUGACGGGGGCCCGCACAAGCGGUGGAGCAUGUGGUUUAAUUCGAAGCAACGCGAAGAACCUUACCAGGUCUUGACAUCCCGAUGCUAUUUCUAGAGAUAGAAAGUUACUUCGGUACAUCGGUGACAGGUGGUGCAUGGUUGUCGUCAGCUCGUGUCGUGAGAUGUUGGGUUAAGUCCCGCAACGAGCGCAACCCCUAUUGUUAGUUGCCAUCAUUCAGUUGGGCACUCUAGCGAGACUGCCGGUAAUAAACCGGAGGAAGGUGGGGAUGACGUCAAAUCAUCAUGCCCCUUAUGACCUGGGCUACACACGUGCUACAAUGGUUGGUACAACGAGUUGCGAGUCGGUGACGGCAAGCUAAUCUCUUAAAGCCAAUCUCAGUUCGGAUUGUAGGCUGCAACUCGCCUACAUGAAGUCGGAAUCGCUAGUAAUCGCGGAUCAGCACGCCGCGGUGAAUACGUUCCCGGGCCUUGUACACACCGCCCGUCACACCACGAGAGUUUGUAACAGUACGAAGUAGGGUGAG
rnacentral:rRNA from 1 species